rnacentral:rRNA from 1 species
CCUACGGGAGGCUGCAGUGAGGAAUAUUGGUCAAUGGCCGCAAGGCUGAACCAGCCAAGUCGCGUGAGGGAUGACGGUCCUCUGGAUUGUAAACCUCUUUUGUCAGGGAGCAAAGGGCGCCACGUGUGGCGUUUUGCGAGUACCUGAAGAAAAAGCAUCGGCUAACUCCGUGCCAGCAGCCGCGGUAAUACGGGGGAUGCGAGCGUUAUCCGGAUUUAUGGGGUUUAAAGGGUGCGCAGGCGGAAUGUCAAGUCAGCGGUAAAAUUUCGGGGCUCAACCCCGUCGUGCCGUGGAAACUGGCGGUCUUGAGUGCGCGAGAAGUAUGCGGAAUGCGUGGUGUAGCGGUGAAAUGCAUAGAUAUGACGAAGAACUCCGAUUGCGAAGGCAGCAUACCGGCGCUCAACUGACGCUGAGGCACGAAAGCGUGGGUAGCGAACAGGAUUAGAUACCCGGGUAGUC